rnacentral:rRNA from 1 species
UACGGAGGAUCCUAGUGUUAUCCGGAUUUAUUGGGUUUAAAGGGUGCGUAGGCGGAUAUGUAAGUCAGCGGUGAAACUCACAGGCUCAACCUGUGCCGUGCCGUUGAAACUGUGUAUCUGGAAUGCGGAUGCUGUGGGAGGAAUGUGUAGUGUAGCGGUGAAAUGCAUAGAUAUUACACAGAACACCGAUUGCGAAGGCAUCUCACAAAGCCGUUAUUGACGCUGAGGCACGAAAGCGUGGGGAUCAAACA